rnacentral:lncRNA from 1 species
UGAAGGUCGAAGGGGAAGAAAAGCUGUAUCGAUUGUUGAGAUCUGGCGACUUGUUUAAAUUUCAUCAGCCUCACUUCUAUGAACUCUCAGGACAGCUCACAGUAUGGCAGCUGACAUUCUACAGAGUGAGCAGGUAAAGGAAAGAAAGAAAAGGCCUCAUGUGUACCAGCUCUCUGCUCUCCUUUGCCUUGGGACGUUCCAUCCCUGGAAGUUUCCCUGCCCACAUCUUUGUAGAGAGUCCAUUCUCCAAGCUUCAGUGUGUCAUCUGUGAGGACUGUGACCAACCUGGUACAUCGCCUCAGGGCAUUCAUUUCAGGCUCCUUCUAAAUGGUCAAGGUAUUAUGGUUGACCCUAAAGAAGCAUCAGCUUGGCUUUGCACCAAAGAAGUUUUUAGUCAAGUUGGAGAGAGAUCACUACUCAAAGAACGCGAGAGACUAAUGGAAGACAAUAUAUUGGCAGCAGACUAAAAGGCAGAAUGGUCACACUUCAAAAUGUUUGGUACAAGCUAUGGUGAUGUUAUUGAUCUUCUGAUUUGAUGUUCCUGUGAAGGUUCUAUGACCUAUUUUGAUAUGUAGACAGUGGUAAAAUGCUCAAAGCUCUUU